UUCAUCUGCCUUGGGUUGCCUGGAUAUUUCAGGGCACCAUGCUGGAGGUCACUUUAAGACCAGAUGAAGAGCCUUGCUCCUGGGCCAGUCAGUAUGUGGAUCACAGGCUUUAUCAACGCUUGAUGCAGAUAAACUGAGUUCUAUCUUGGAAGGUAAGGGAGUGUGUCUUGACUUAGCAUCUCUGGUCAUCUCCUAGGUUGUGCUCAAUGACAGCUGGUUUGAAUUGUUCUCUCAUGGCCCCUUUCCCUUAACACUUUGUAAUUAGACAGUGAAGUGAUCAACACAGGACCAGAGUCUUCUAUUUCCCAUCUGCCUUCCUCGGGUCCAAAACCAACAUGAGGCACUAAAUUAAAGCAUUCCUAUUGGCUGAUAUGAGUGAAAGUACUGUAGCUGUCUACUCCCACCAGUAGACGAAACUUCCUUACCUUCUCUGGGUACAGAGCACAUUUUCUCUGAUACAUCUCAUCUGAAAACUCCUGCACCAGGUAACCUAAGCUACAGAAUGCUGUUUCCUUGUGAAAACAAUUUAUUAGGCCCCGUGGAACCAAUAUCCUGGAGUUGUAGAGGAGAAAAAUAAAUUCUUGCCU
rnacentral:lncRNA from 1 species